GGGGUCAUAGCUCAGCUGGGAGAGCGCUUGCAUGGCAUGCAAGAGGUCCGCGGUUCGAUCCCGCGUGGCUCCACCA
rnacentral:tRNA from 1 species